GACAGAGGUGCCAAGCGUUAGGCGGAAUCACUGGGCUUAAAGCGUGUGUAGGCGGACUUGUAAGUACCUUGUGAAAUCCCACGGCUCAACCGUGGAACUGCUUGGUAUACUGCUUGUCUUGAGCCACUUAGGGGCUACCGGAACAAAUGGUGGAGCGGUGAAAUGCGUAGAUAUCAGGAGGAACACCUGCGGUGUAGACGGCUUUCUGGACCAUUGCUGACGCUGAGACACGAAAGCGUGGGUAGCAAACAGG
rnacentral:rRNA from 1 species